AUACAAAGUAAUUAGCCAAUGCAAUUUUCUAAAUUUCCUUGCGGUUCUCCUAAGAACCGAACAACAGAACCUAGCAUGACUGAAAUUCCAAGUAUAUUUCAAGAAAAGCAUUACGAACCCAUAAUUACAACCCAAAGGAACACUAUCUCUAACAGUUGUAAGUGGUUGAAAAAACUUGAAAUAAACAGUUGUUCAACUUUC
rnacentral:misc_RNA from 1 species